UCAAGCCUGCUCCAUUCUUUUUCCAUCCAGGGUUAUUGGCCAGUGGGUCAUACUCAGAGGUCCAGACAACCAGGUGCUGCAUAUCUCGCCAGUCUCAUGGUGUCCAUCAAAAGCCUCAGCACUUUCAGCAUUUUGAACCCACAGAUGAAGCCCUGAAUUCCUUCUUAGGAAGAGUGAGAUGUUAAAGACACAGACUGGUUACCUACUGGAAACAUGUAUUGCCUUUUUCUUUAUCUAUCAGAAGGGUCAAGAAACUCUUAGCUAUUUGAGUUCACCCUUGCAAGGCACUAUACUAAUACUGUAAGGAUAUUCAAGGAUAUGGUUCUUGUCUUCAAGAAGUUUCCAAUCCAGUAAAUAGAAUUAAGGCUUUUCAUAAUUUUAUCUGCUGAAUGCUAUAUUCAUAGCUUAAUGCAUUGUGAAGUUUAGAGGAAAAAGAAUUUCCAUGGAACAGAAAUAUCUAGGAAAGCUUUGUGGGGAAGAAAUAUUGAAGCUGGACUUUGACAGGGGGUAGAAUAUUAAGAAGUGGAGAUAGAGAAGGCAUGAGGCCACUGGAGCAAAAGCACCAAGGUGGGACAGUGCAGAUGUGGCCAGAUGGCAGCCUGGUUUGCUGGCGCAGGGGAGAGGCAGUGAGAAACACUGAGCCAGAGCGAUGUGCCAGAAAGGGAGCUUAUACAUUAUUCUUUAGGCAGUGGGAAUCAGUGAGGAUUUUUGAGCAAGGAAAUAGUAAAAUCAUAAGUCUCAGUAAGAUUAAUUUAGCAACACUAUAAAGACAAAUCAGAGAUACAAGGGAUUGUUGGUUCUAUUAUAAUAUGAUGAGGCCUUCCUUGAUCAACCUAUUUAAAAUUUCCACUCUCCCACAUCAUCCCGAGCUCUCUCAUUCUGCUAUAUGUGCAUGUUCUCCUUCCAUAACACGUACAGGCUUCUAACAUGCUGGGACACUUAUUUGCAUUGUGUAUUAUUAAUGUCUGUCUCUUUGGUUCGAAUUUAACUGUGAGAGGUGGUGACAUCUUGAUCUAACUUGUUCUCUGAUGUGUAGCACCCAGAAGAAUGCUGAGCACAGGGUAUGAGAUCAGCGGAUAUGGUUGGUUCAGAGACUAAACAUGCCUAAGUGGUAACUAGCCCCAAAUAGAACUUUAAAACGUAUUGCUCCUAGUCAUCAGUCAGAUUCUCAAACUUCUCCUUGACUUUGAGACCUGUUUUGUUCUCUGAAGCCAAUCAAGCAUUAUGUAAUAAGUAGAUGCCCCAGUUUUUACUCUUCAAAGUUCCCGUCUCAGCACUCGGUUGGAGAGCAAUCAUCAGACAAGUCUGGCUCACUUUGCUGCCUUCUCCCCAGAGCUGGUUCAGUAAUCCCCUGGUGACAAGAAAUGCAGUGGACACUCCUAAACAUUGAAGAGUCCGGCUCCCGGUUAAAAAUGGUGUGUGAUUUUUCGGGCCUGACCAUAGGCUACUUGAAAGGUUUUACCCGGCGCACCACACCGGGAAGCUGCCUUCCCACGCAGAGCGCACACCUGGUGCCUCGCAGCCGUUCCCAUGAAAGCCGCAGGCCCCGGCCCCCUCAUGUUCGAUCCAUAUUGACAUUCCUAGCUGGUGAGAGCUUUCCUCCCUAGGUCCCUCGGCCAGGCGCCUCUGCCUAGGCCUCCUGGUGGAGAGGAGGGGAAACAUCCAGGCACUUUUUUCAUUCCAACUCUGCCUGGUGCCUCUCCACUCCUGCGCUGUCUUGGUUCCUCUCCGCCUCACACCCGAGAGUCCAUAAAAUUGCCAAAGCCUUUUGUUCAGGUCUCCCUCAACAGUGCGAUGACCCUCAUGUCUGUGCUGAGCCACUCAACCAGUGUGCCAAGCCACGGGGAAAAGGAGCAGGGCGAGUCAGUGUUUUCUCCCGUUCAGACUCUUGCUGAUAUCAUAGCAGUGAUUAAAGGUUCAGUGCUUUCAUUUUUGGCUUGUUGCAUUAAUGGGUUACUCCACACCUGACAGCUCAGCUCGCCUGAGCGGAGCUCCUGACAAACAUACCACUUCACCCUGGAGAGGGAUUGACAGAGGCCUUGGAAGGACACCGGUUUAGGGAUCCUCAGUGAGUCCCAGAAUGCUUGCCUCAUAAUCACCUGGUACACGUGUAAAUAGAAAAGAGCAUUUUAUUGAAGUGCUUGCUUCCUUCCAGUCUUUUCAAAGGAGUAUUAAGUAAAAGCCUCGUAUCAAGGCAGUCAAUGGGCAACACAUCAGUUUUCCAUUUGGAUCAUCAGUGUGCAGGUGCAUGUAUGGAGGCAGGAAUGAGGAAGCGUACUGAGGAGGCUUAAGGCAAGAUGCUGAUAAUCAUGAUUUUCACAUAUAGCACACGUGUCCUAUAUUUCUGUAGUAGAGCAGUUAUUUUGUAUGUUUGCAGGUUUUAUUGUUUUAAAAGUUUCCUUUAUCUAGUCUUUGCAAAAUAUUCAAGGAGAUUCAUUGUCAUGCAAUUAGAAAAGCCUAUUUUUCUAACAGAGUUAUUCUUCAUUUGUGUGCUUGUGUUUUAUAAAUAAAAAGGAGCUGCUGACAACAGUGCAACUCAU